rnacentral:lncRNA from 1 species
UUAUGUAUAUCAAGUGAGGGUAAAAAAUAAGAGAAUAUAUUCACAAGAGGAAGAAAUCAUAUAUUGGAUAAAACUGUUGGAUUACAAUUGUGGAUAUUACAGGAGGAACAUCAUCCAGAUUUGAUGCAUAAUCUAAACAUUUUUCUUGACAGAAAAACUUAAACAAAAAGGCUUCCAUCAACAUCCCUACAACUUGAACUAAAACUUAAUCGAGGAACAACAUCCAACAGGAACAACAUCCCUACAACUUAACUAAUCCUGAAAGCAUCCACCGUCAUCAUCAUCAUUGCAGUAUACUUGCCACGCACCCAUAUAAUCAUCCAUAUAUCUUUUGAAUCUGCAAAGAAAAUAGAAAAAUGAACUGUUAACACACAAUGAAUUGACAUGAUGCAAGUAUUGAUAGAGGAAAGAUAUUAAACGCCUACAAAGGUUGAAGGUCAUGCAAUCUUUGUUUUAAUGCAUUACCGAGUAUUGUCGUUUUCAUGACUCAGCACCAAAUCUUCAGUUUUCAAAAGUGCCACAUUGACAUGCACUACCCAAAAUCCAUUUGUAAUUUCAGCACCAUCAAGAUUAAAUUUGGGACCACAACUUACAACUAUAGCAAGAGUUACAUACCUGUUAUGAUUAUCAAAAGACACCGGCAUUCAAGGGCAAUGUGAGUGACAGUACCACUUCUCUUCUCUUCUCUCUAGUUAGUUAACAAACUGAAAGAAAACGGUUUUAGCCAUCUGAAACUGAACAAAAACAUUUAGCUCUAGUUGGUUUCAGUCAUCCAACAGGAAACAGACAAACCUAUGGGUGCUCACAGCGCUUUGGAACAAACCUACAGCCCCAAAUAAACUGAAUUGAAUUUACAUGGUCAUCAGCAGCCUAGAGAUCCAUUGCUAAUUCUGUACACCUAUAGUCAAAGCUUUUUUGUGUGAACCAACUGAUAUAUUUAUCCACUGAAACCUACAGCCCCAAAUCCUAUAAAUUUGCAUGGACAUCAGCAUAGAUACUAGCAUGGCUCAAUGGCCGUGGACACAACGAGUAGUAGCACGGUAGGGAGAGGGAGAGAGUAUACCAACCAUGGCAUCGUCCAUGACAUGCUCCACUUACUCGACUUGCUCCAUGGCGUCCCCCUGCAUAGAGUUGGUGUGUGUGGCUGUAAAACCAAAGGAAAAAGGUCACAUGUAUAUUCCUCAAGAACAGCGCAACACAAGUAAACCUUCAUCAAGUUCCAUUCUUUCUAAAUAAAAGAAGAGCAAGCUAUAUUCCUCCGUUCUAUGUGUCCUAGUUACUACCUUGCCAACUUUACAUGUCGCUCAAUGAAUUUAUCCCCGAGUUAGUAAGACUAGUCAUCAACCCAUGCGUCUCCAUGGGCUAGACAAUUUCAGUUUGCCAUAUUUAACUCAAACAUUUUUAUGUAAGAAAAAUAAUAUUAUUACCAUCAAUUGAAAAAAAACAUACUUUGACUAAUUGAGAAAUAUUACAUGUGUACUGUGUUGGUUUCCAUGUGGCUGAAAUAAAUUUAUUUUAAUAAAGGCAUUUAUACAUACUAUUUAUCAUUCCUAUAAAUAAAGUUUCCAAAUUAUAAUUUAUAUGAAAAAGUCAGGGAUCCGAGGUUGGUAAAUAUACAGAGGAUACUGGUCAAUAUUGUAAUUUCCUUUAAUUACAUAGCAGAAGUCUAAAUCUUGUGUGCUCCUAAAAUUAGCUGUCUAGAAACCCCAAAUGGGUCCCGUGCUUUAGUGAGUUCGGUUAAAGAAAACAAAACCACACUUUUAAGUUAACAAAAAAAACUAAAGCUAAUGUACAUGAAUAUCUGCUUAUAUAUAUGCAAAGCUUCAUUAAGAACUUUUUUCUGAAAUAAACACGUACAUCACUCAAAUCUUCUACAUAAGAAACAUAUCAAAUGAUUAUGAUAAGCCACCUAUAAACAUCAAAGUGAAAUGGCUGGCUGGGGCAGCAGUGCAGCCCUAAUGUUUGGAACUUUGAUUAUGUGGUGCUGCUGGAGGCGAUUGGAGCUGCAGACCACCCCAACAAGAUGCAUUCACUGC